AUUGAACGCUGGCGGCAGGCCUAACACAUGCAAGUCGAGCGAGCGGCGGACGGGUGAGUAAUGCCUGGGAAUUGCCCAGUCGAGGGGGAUAACAGUUGGAAACGACUGCUAAUACCGCAUACGUUUGGAUUGCCCCGGUGGGAUUCGCUAGUUGGUGAGGUAAUGGCUCGCCAAGGCGACGAUCCCUAGCUGGUCGGAGAGGAUGAUCAACGGCACUGGACCUGGUACACGUUCCAGACUCGUACGGGAUGCAGAAGAGGAGAAUAUUGCACAAUGGUGGAAACCCUGAUGCAGCCAUGCCGCGUGUUUAAAGAAGGCCGUAGGGUUGUAAAACGCUUAAAGCGAGGAGGCGUAACUCGCAGAAGAAGCAACGGCUAACUCCGUGCCAGCAGCCGCGGUAAUAC
rnacentral:rRNA from 1 species